ACAUAAAGCUGCAUGGGGGAGUAUCUCGGUCACCUCCACAUUCCCAGUGAUAGGGAAGACUGAGACAUGAAUGGCCCCAAGCUUGUGGGCCUGGUAGCCUGUCAUACAGAGGAGCAAAUAAGAGGACGCCCUGUGUAAAACAGGGUCCUGAACACUCUCUCUCUCUCUCUCUCUCUCUCUCUCUCUCUCUCUCUCUCUCUCUCACACACACACACACACACACACACACACAUAUACAGAGAGAGAUUUGUAAGUUUUAAACUUGAAUACCUAAUUCGAUACCACUCAUUUUCAACUGUGUGAUCAUAGGCCAGAUACUAACUUUUCUCUCCUAACUGCAAAAUAAAAGUGAUUAUGAUAAUAAUUGCUAUCAUAAUGUUUCCAUUUGCCUUAUUAAGUACCAGAAACACAAAAAAUAUAUGUUUCCUUACAAAAAAGGUAUUUGGUAACUGUAUACUGGGCAUUGCAGUAUGCACCAGUAAUCCCAGCACUGGGGAAACUGAGGCAGGAGAACUAUGUUCCAGACCAGGAUGAGCUGCAUAGCAAGGUCUUGUCUCAAAAAAAAAGAAAGGAAGAAAGAUAGAUAGAUAAAUAGAUAGGUAGAUAGACAGAUAGACCGAUAGAACAAAACAAACAAAAAGCACAUUAUAAGUGUAAUGGGCCAUGCAAAUUAUUACUAUUUUUUCGCCUCCUGGCCAGUGCUUAAAUGUAACAGAUAACAAAUGGUGCUUUUUCCCCCAGGCACUAAGAUUUCCAAAAAUGGUUGAAGUUAGUUACAUCAGUCAAUUAGCCCAUUUAUUUGUAUCUCUUUGCCCACCCAGGCUUCAUUUCUAGCAAUGCACCCCACAGAUCAAAUGUCCCAUACUCCUCUCUUCCUUCCCUUGUAUCCGGCUAUUGUUUUAGUUGUAAAACUCCCAACUCAAUCAAUGGGAUUUUACGUAAAAAGCAUAAAGAGAUGGCAGGAUGUGACUGUGGACUCAGGAAUUCCAGGCUUGUGCUGUUGAUAAAGAGAUUCAUGUCAAACAAACAAGAGUAAAGACCAUCAGAGAAAUAUUCCGUCCAACCUGCACCACUUAGACCCAUUGUGUUCAGGUUUAUGUCGCCUUUAUAAAGUGUAUCCUUGCUAUAAAACCCAUGACCUUUCCACAGCAUUCCCGUGUGAAUAGCUUUGAAAUUCCCGUGUGUCUGGCCAGAUACUUUCUAGGUGCCUUAUCUCAUUCACCAGGGGCAUCUCUUCGGCUGUUUCUUCAGAGUCUCCACAACCCUAAUUCCUUUUGGUCUUUUAUCAUGUCUUAGGCAAGAUGUUGGCCAAUUCACAGGGAACCUAACAUGACGGCCCAUCUGCUCCGGGCUUUACCUUUCUUUCUCUUCUGGAGAGAUGAGUGUCUGCAGCAGAGUUGAUUCUCUUGUUCCCAUGCAAGGUUGUCAUUGUCUGUCUUCAACUCUGGUUCUAUCACUAAGCACAGAGAAUGAAGGAAGUACCUAUCGAGCAGAAGGAGCAGUCUGCCUUGAAGAUGGGUGUUGGGGAUGGUUAAUGUCAGAAAAACGGUGGCCCUCACCUAAUGAGCCCAGGGAGAGCUUUUUUUACUCUCACUGCCUUCUGGAACAUUAAGGAGAUUAUGUCUCGCCAGGCAGUGGUGGCACACGCCUUUUAUCCCAGCACUUGGGAGGCAGAGGCAGGUAGAUUUCUGACUUCAAGACCAGCCAGAACUCAGAGUGAGUUCCAGGACAGCCAGGGCUACAUAGAGAAACCCUUUCUCAAAAAUCAAAAAAGAAGAAGAAGAAGAAGAAGAAGAAGAAGAAGAAGAAGAAG
rnacentral:lncRNA from 1 species